ensembl:lincRNA linc-97 ncRNA
UUGAAAAUAUUUACACUUUUAUGGGCAGUGAACUAUUUUUCAACUGUACGAAAAUUUCAUGUUCGCAGGAAUAUUCUUACAAUUAGUCCCGCCAAUCCUAAAGUCCUUCCUGCUCGGUUCCCCUUGCAGAGAUGCGACCUGUCAUUUCCAUGUAAUGCGCAAUCAAAGGUCAAUGGGUAUCUGGUUUCACAACUGUAUCAUCAACUCAUCCUGACACAUUUUGGGUGUCGAUUACGUUUAUUGCUCAUCCCUUCUUCUAAUAAAUGUUGA